ACGAUAAUUAUUAUUACUAUUAUUACAGGAUAAUCAGUGAUGGAAAGACUAUCGGGACAGUAAUUACACAGUGGAACCUCAUUUGUUCGAACAUCGAUUAUUCGACACUCGAUUAUGCGAAUGAGCAAUUAUACGAAUUAAACCACGUACCCAGUAAUGUUUACAAUUUCAAACGCGUAUUAUUCCUGCGUCGAUGCAUGGCACGAUUCGACUUCAUUUAUAUUCUAUUCGUAAAGCUAUCAACGUUUUUAUCAAAAUCUGUCAGUGCACGACAACAGUAAACAAUGGAAAUUUACUGCAUGGAGCUUUAUGAGACAAACUUUGUUUUAUUGAGGUCGUAAACUGCUGCCACAUGAAAUUCAACAUAGUAAUAAUCUUAAAACUGACCAUGCUCUUAACGAUAGAGUCGUAUUAUUAGCAAAAUUUUAUGUUCAAUGAAUUCAACGUAAUUUAUUUUUAUGUUUUAAUUUAUAUUCUAACAUUAUUAUGUUCAUAUCGUGUUCUAUUAUGUAUAUAGAUCAUAUUAUGUUCUAAUUAUGGAUUAAUGAACAGUAUUUUAAAAUUGAGGUUCCACAUGGACCAGAAAUUGAAGGAAAUAAUGUAUAACUUCAUUUUCAUUAACAGGGAAAUUAAAAGAUUCGUAGAAGUAGAAGUUUUAAUGUUGAUAAGAAAUUUUGAAACUUGUAACUUUGUUUAAAAAUUUUAGAAGCAUGUUCGUCAAAUAAAAUGUCUAUUAUUUGAAACAACUAUAACGUGAGUAAAUUUCAAAUCAAAACCAUUAUAAAGUGAGACUUCCAAAUUAAAAGUGAUUAAUAAUUUCGUAAUUUGUAUCUUGACUUAUUAAUCUGGUUAAUUUAUAAUUUAUAUAAUGUACAGAAGCGCACAGAAAUGUAUAUAAUAUAUAAACUUGCACAGAAAUGUAUAGAACGCAUAAAAAUACUUUAAAUUACUGUA